rnacentral:misc_RNA from 1 species
GUUGGCUGAGCAGUUCCAGAAGCAAGCACCUGGAGGAGGUGCUGAUGCAGCAGCAGCAGCCAAUGCCGAGGACGACGACGAUGUUCCUGACCUUGUCGAAGGGCAGACCUUCGAAGCUGCUGCAGAAGAGAGUCAAGCCUCCUAGAUAUAGGAGCUCUCAGAUGAUUUUGUUUAGCUUUUCUUUUUUCUUACAUUUUUUAAAAAUGUUUGGGAAGAGUUCCAUUUUUCUCCGUGUAUUUGUUUUUGCUAAUCUUUGUUCCCCAUGGCAUUUACUCACCUCGCUCCCAUGUAAAC